rnacentral:hammerhead_ribozyme from 1 species
CUCCAGCUGACGAGUCCUAAAUAGGACGAAACGCGCGUCCUGGAU